AAUUAAAUGACUAUUCAUAAUUGAAUAAUAAAAAAAUAUUUACUAAUAGUUCGGUGACUAUAAAGUAAUUUACUUAAUUGAAAACAUGUUUAUGUAAAGCAAACAUGCUUUAUAAACAAAAUAACAUGUACUUCAAACAUAAAUUGCUUAAAACUAGAUAUUUUGAUUGACUUGGAACUGAGCUCCAUCACUAACUUGACAAUUUUGUUCAACAUCCUCAAUUUCUUGCAUUUGCAAAGUGAGUUUAAGUCUUUUCGCUACAUCGUUCAUGGAAGG
rnacentral:lncRNA from 1 species